rnacentral:rRNA from 1 species
CGUUGUCCGGAAUCAUUGGGCGUAAAGAGCGUGUAGGCGGCCCGGUAAGUCCGCUGUAAAAGUCAAAGGCUCAACCUUUGAAUGUCAGUGGAUACUGCCGGGCUAGAGUCCGGAAGAGGCGAGUGGAACUCCUGGUGUAGCGGUGAAAUGCGCAGAUAUCAGGAGGAACACCCAUUGCGAAGGCAGCUCGCUGGGACGUUACUGACGCUGAGACGCGAAAGCGUGGGGAGCAAACAGG